rnacentral:snoRNA from 13 species
GUGAAAUGAUGAUUCAGUUUAUCCAUUCGCUGAGUGUGCUGCACUGACCUCCUUCCAGGUCUCAGUUCCUGUUCUAGGAACUGGGGCUAUGUAGCCUCCAACUGCCCUGCAAUCUGCGGUGUUCUACUGCGGUCUGCUUGGGUGUUGGCAGACUAUCGGUAAGGAUGGUUGGUCUCAGCAGGGACGGGUCUCUCUGGGUCCCAUCUCUCAAAGAUGAGUGGUGAAAAUCUGAUCAC